rfam:Gongylonema pulchrum genome assembly, scaffold: GPTH_contig0056494
AAUAAACCGCAGUGGGUCAUCACUUGGCUGGUGGAUCGAUGAAGAACGCAACUAGCUGCGACAGGUAGUGCGAAUUGCAGACACAUUGAGUGCUAAAAUCUCGAACACACACUGCGCCAUCGGCUGGAAUGCUCCCAGCCGUUUUUUAUGCGUUUUU